ensembl:misc_RNA 7SK 7SK RNA
GGAUGUGAGGGCGAUCUGGCUGCGACAUCUGUCACCCCAUUGAUCGCUAGGGUCGAUUCGGCUGAUCUGGCUGGCUAGGCGGGUGUCCCCUCCCUCCCUCACCGCUCCAUGUGCGUCCCUCCCGAAGCUCUGCGCUCGGUGGAAGAGGACCGGCGUUCCCGGUGGAAGAGAAUCGUGCCGCGGUUCAAGGGUUUACGAGUAGCUGCGCUCCCCUGCUAGCACCUCCAAACAAGCUCAAGGCCCAUUUGUAGGAGAGACGUAGGGAAGUCGAGCUGCGAGACUUCACGACACAUCCCAGUGAGGCACUGCACGUGGCAGUCUGCCUUCGUUU